ACCUCAGGUGAUCCACCCUUUUUGACCUCCCAAAGUGCUGUGAUUAUAGGCAUGAGCCACCGUGCCUGGCCUAGAAUAGUUUUCUUACUCCCCCAAAACUGCUUUAUGCUGCCUUUUUGUAGUCAAACUAUCUGCCUGCCCUUAACCCCAGCUCCCCCGCAUUAGAAACCACUGAACCUCUGAUCUGUUCUUCACCUUAAAGCUUUCCCUUUUCCAGGGUGUAGCGUAUGUGGAAUUAUAGAGUAUGUCACCUUUCAAGUCUGGCUUCUUUCAUCUAGUGUAAUGCAUUUGAGAUUUAUCUAUGUUGUCGGAUGUAUCAGUAAGUUUGUGUCUUAGCAGUGCUGAGAAGUAUUCCUUUGCAUGGAUGUACCCAGAUCUGUUUAUCCAUUCAUCAGUUAGAGGACAACUGGGUUGUUUCCAGUUUGGGGUGAUUACAAAUAAAGCCACGAUGUACAAGCACCUCUAGGUUUUGGGUGAACAUAAGUUUUCAUUUCUCUUAAGUUUCAAUACCUAGGAGAAUGAUUGCUAGGUCAAUGGUAAGAGCGUGUAUAAUGCUACAAGAAAGUGCUAAACUGUUUUCCAAAGUGAGUGUAGCAUUUUGUAUCCCCGCUAGCAAUGAAAUGAGAGCUCCGCUUGCUCUGUAAGAGGCAUUAGUGAAUAUGAAAGUGCUUUGUAAAGACUAAGGGUGUCUCACAGUGUGCCCAGGCGGGAGGAUUCAGAGGGGGCAUUUCUAAACUCUAAACUCCUGUGGGCUCCUAGCCCAUCCUUCUGAAUGGGGACAGAAUACUUCCAUUUCCAGGUUACUUGCUUCUCCAAAAGGGAGACAGGGAAGUAUCCUUCUCUUUUUGCAAAUGAGGGCACAGCACUGCCUCUCGUGGUUGAGCCAGUCAUUAUUCAGUAGGAACAGCAGUGAGAUUCUCCAGCCUUCUAUUUUAUUCCUGGGGUCACAGAGUAAAAUGCAGCGUGAUCAUUUGGAGCAUUCUUAUGCUUUGUGACAAGAACAAAGCCAGUGGAAACAGCCAUGUGUCCAAUCAGAAUGUCAGAGCUGGCAGGGACCUUAGCAAUUGUCACUUUACAGAUGAUAACCUAUUACAUCCCCAGGUCCCCAGAAUCCCAGCCCAGGACUCACUCCCUCAGCCUUCCUGGAUUGUCCUGGGUGGAACAAGAUCAGCUCAUUUAGCACAUAGUCUUCCAGAACACAAGGCAGUGUCCCACCAAGGUUGGAUGGGACCAGCUUCUCUAUCCACAGUAGCUGUGCACACAGAGACAGAAAUGAAGCCGUACUGCCGGGUGCACCGUGGCCAGAGAUCCUCCUUCCUGGUAUAUACUCCCGGAGCCAUUGCUUCUUUCAUUUCAGUGCCCAUUUCUGAGGCACCUUCACAUUUCAAACGUCCUGAGAAUAUGUUUAAUUAGAACUUGGCCAUACAGCCUUUUAAAACAAAACAGAAGGGACCAGCUAAUUAUAUCACUCAGCAUUCUGUGGCAAACAUAUAUUUUUUAAUAAAACACUUUCCUAACCAGAGUAAUCCCUGGAGAUGCAAAUCCUCAUUUAUAAGAAGUUUCCCAAAGGGAGUUAAAGAGAAGAUGCCUUAUAAAGAAAAGAGACAAAGAGAGUGGGGAAGUGUUUUCAAAGAGCUUUUAAAAGAUACACUCAUUCUGAGGUUGAAUUACAGAUAUUUUAAGGGUACCAAAUUUUAUUUCAGAUGUAAUCCUUUCCUGUGUUUUUGAUCAUGUAUUUCCGUUUUUUCCCUUUUUGAUCAUUGCCACAAAUGCCCAUAUUUCUCUUUCUGGUGUCUUUCAUAAGUGCAAUAUUUAAAUAAACAAGGGAUUUUCCCAAAAUGCACCUCAUCUCCUACUCUUUGUCAUUUCCUUGUCUUGCUCUGUAAAUAACCGUGUGUCUCACAGCAGAGCUUACACAGAAUGGAUGUGGGGCAGUCUGUGGUCCUGGGGAGGGCCUUCCCUGUAAUCUCUGCAGCCCAGGACAGGGAGAGGGAAGAUUUAGAUCCUGCUGCGGCAUGUCUUCAGGAGUGGAGGUCAGCUUGGGACAUUUACGUUCAUGAGGCAGCCGCAGAGGGUCAGAGCAAUAAUUGUGCCAGCUGAUGUUUGCUGCGGGGUUUACUCCAAGCCAGGCCACACGCUAAGAAAUUAGGUAUCGUACCUCAUUUAAUCCUCACAAUCCUCACAAAAUGUAGUUGUUUUGCUCCAUUUUGCAGAUGAAGAAGACGAGGCUUGAGAGACGAAGGAAUGAAUGAAGGGUCUCACAGCUGUUAGAAGGGUUAGAUCUUGUAUUUGGACUCAGGUCUGCCUGCCCUGGAACUUGACUCUCCCACACCUGGUGCUGGGCACACUAGGAGACGUCACAAGGCUCAGAGAUGCCACCCUUCCUAGAACGGGCGCCGUGCCUCUCUUCUCCACACACUGCAGGGGAGACAGGCACUGUGUUUUCAGAUAAGUUCCAUGUGCAUCAGGGGCUCGGUGGGAAAGGGAGGACACACUCAGAUUAGGAUUAUUCAUGGAGGAUUCUCCAAAGAGGCUAUUUGGAAAGACGGAGGGAAUGGUGAAGGAAAGCACAAGAGAAAAUGGACAGAACCGUUACUUCCUCACGCCUGAAGGGGAUGGGUUACUGGAAGCCAGGAGGAGAGUGUGAUAAGAGCCACUUUUAGAGGAGCUUUCACCUUCAGGAGAAAGUCAGGGCCCAAGAAGACCCACAGGGAGGUGACCAGGGAAUGGCAUACUUGGACUACCCUCUCUUCUGUUCCUCCACUCUCCUGCCAGGGCUCCACAUUGGAUAAACCCCUGCAGGGGCGAGUGAAACUGCCACCCAGGUUUGCCUCCCAGGGCACAGCCCAUGGAGAGCUCUAAGGCAAGUGGCAGAAAACUAGCACAGGUGCAGUGCGUCUUGCAAAGCACCCAGCCUAUGCCGGCCCUGGGCUAGAAAUGGGAAGAGAGGAGACCAUGGCACUGCCCUCAAAGAUCUUAGAGUCUGUGGAGGAGUCAGGCAGAGAGAGGGGGUGUUCCCUUGGCAAAGGACUCCAUGAGCAGAUGCAGGCCAUGGGCGACGCUCCUGCAGAAGCUUUGGGGUUUGCCGCAUGUGCCUGGAAGGAGCGCGCCCACCUUGACAUGCCUCGCCUCCUGUUGCCAUUGACAACGUGAAGGCAAACUCCUGGGGCUGGGCCUUUUUCCUUGAGAUAAAAUAUGUAUAAUUCUCUGUUAUCAAAUGAUUAUUAAACAAAAUCUAAUUGAAAAAAUAGAAAGAAGAAAAGAUAAGUCAUUUAUCAUCCUGUUCUCCAAAGACAACUGUGAACAGCUUGGUGGAACUCCUUCCAGUGGCUUUCCUUGGAGCUUUGCCUCUGUGGAUGUGGAAAACCUUAAGACCUUUGUUGGACCAACUGGGGAAGAAUUUCUUUCCUGCUCAGGCUGCUCAGCUGAUAGAGUGCUGGCCUGGAGCAGCUGAAAGACACUUUGCUGCUUUCUGGAGAAUGAAGCCACUGGGAAACCACAUAGGAGGGAAGAGAGAGACAGCUUCUCGAUGAUGUCAUCUGAACACCUGGAUCCUGCUGUGCCUGGACUUGCAGUCCCAUUGUCUACCAAUAUAGUUCAUUGAAUUCAACUUCAGCUGGAUGUCAUUCAUCUGCUUCCAGAACUUGUGUCUAAUGCAGAGCUGAAUGCAUACUCUCAGAGUUGGAAGUGGAUGCAAUCCACAAAUCUAGCACCCAAAUUUCUUUUUUCUGUUCUUUUUUUUUUUUAAUUUGAGAUGGAGUCUUGCUCUGUCACCCAGGCUGAAGUGUAGUGGCGCAAUCUCAGCUCACUGCAACCUCUGCCUCCCAGAUUCAAGCGAUCCUUCUGCCUCAGCCUCCCGAGUAGCUGGAAUUACAGGCGUGUGCCACCACGGCUGGCCUAAUUUUGGUAUUUUUAGUAGAGAUGGGGUUUCACCAUGUUGGCCAGGCUGAUAUCGAACUCCUGGCCUCAAGUGAUCUACCCCCCUUGGCCUCCCAAAGUGCUGGGAUUACAGGUGUGAACCACCAUGCCCGGCCUCAAAUUGCUUUUACAGAGGCAAGUGGCCACCGAGUCUGUGAUUGGGAUCCUCCUGUGGAGACCUGUGGAGACUCGUGGCUCACUACCUUUGAAGGCAGUGUUAGGGUAAUCUCUCCACAUUUCCCUGCUGAAAGCUCUGAGUGUUAGUAAAUUCCUUCUCAUAUUAGCUAAAAUGUAUUUUCCUGUGCCUUUUAUUCACUGAUGGGGAAUACAAGCAUUCUUUUUGAGGGUGGCCAAUGCUAGUAAUUCCCUCCAUACAGUCAGUGAUGGAUAGAGUUAACCCAUGGUUGCUGCAUGUAGUACUGUCACUUGCUGUACCACCAGGACUCAAGUUGAUGCUCAACGCAACAUUCUUUUGCAGGGCCCUUGUCCUCAGUUUCCCUUCUUUUGGGGUGGGCUGAGAGAGACAGCUUAUUCAGCAUGAAGCUGUAGUAUCUACAGUUUAGCAAAUGUCUGCGGAGCCUUUAAAGCAGUUUUUAUCAUAAUAAAAAUAUUUUAACUUAUAACCCCAGAAAGAGAUAGGCAUGGGAGUCUUUAUACAGCACAGAAAUCCAGAUGAGCAUAAUUUGAAAGUCAUUUGAAUUGUAAUGAGUAUUUUUAAUGUAAACAGGCAGGAGGAAAAACUUGCUGGGUUCUCUUGUAGCACAGACACCCAGAUAUAUGUCUUUUGAUAGUGAUAUUAAAGUGUCAAGGGUGCAUAGGAGGCUGCAGAUGUCAGCGGCAUGAAUGGGCAAGGCAAUUUCUGUGGUUGCAGGCUGGAGGUUCCAGCAGGAAUAGAAAGGCAAUCUCUGUGCUAGAUGGCCCAGGGUCACUGCAAGUCUAGCUCCUAAAUGAAAAUCAGGGACAAGAUGUGGCCUGUAACCACAGUCACUGCUCUUCGUAAGGCUGGUGGAAAGGUGAACUGGAAAGGUUUUUAGGGUUAGGGAGAUACAGGAACUCCCAAACAUCAGGCACCUGAUAGCACUCUCCACCUAACAUCUGCAUUUAUAUUGACCUAAUGCAUCUGUUCAAUUUGUCUCAUUCUUUGUGCUCACACACAUUUAUUUGAAACAAAACUUUCCAUCAUUACUAUAGGUGAAAAUCCUUGAUCACUUGCCUUGAAUACAAGAAACCAUUAUUAAAUGCAAGCUAGAUAAUUUUGCUUGUCUUACAGCCAUGAGCCUUAAGUCUGUUCCCCCCACCCCCCCCCCCCCCCGCCUUUUUUUUUUGUUAAAAAGAUGAGCAAAAUGUGAGAAUGAUGCAAAAGAGAUCCUGGUACCAAAAGAAGCCUUCUAACUGGAUAUCAUCAGAGGGACAGAAAGAAUUAAAGUAUGGACAAAUUUCUCAAA